rnacentral:rRNA from 1 species
CAGCCGCCGCGGGAAUACGGAGGGUGCAAGCGUUACUCGGAAUUACUGGGCGUAAAGCGUGCGUAGGUGGUGGUUUAAGUCCGUUGUGAAAGCCCUGGGCUCAACCUGGGAAUUGCAGUGGAUACUGGGUCACUAGAGUGUGGUAGAGGAUAGUGGAAUUUCCGGUGUAGCAGUGAAAUGCGUAGAGAUCGGAAGGAACAUCUGUGGCGAAGGCGACUAUCUGGGCCAACACUGACACUGAGGCACGAAAGCGUGGGGAGCAAACAGGAUUAGAUACCCGCGUAGUCCCUGUCUCUUAUAC